rnacentral:rRNA from 1 species
GGGGGAUAUUGCACAAUGGGCGAAAGCCUGAUGCAGCGACGCCGCGUGAGGGAAGACGGUUUUCGGAUUGUAAACCUCUGUCUUCGGGGAUGAAAAUGACAGUACCCGAGGAGGAAGCCACGGCUAACUACGUGCCAGCAGCCGCGGUAAUACGUAGGUGGCAAGCGUUGUCCGGAAUUACUGGGUGUAAAGGGAGCGUAGGCGGGACUGCAAGUUGAAUGUUAAAUCUAUCGGCUCAACCGGUAGCUGCGUUCAAAACUGUGGUUCUUGAGUGAAGUAGAGGCAGGCGGAAUUCCUAGUGUAGCGGUGAAAUGCGUAGAUAUUAGGAGGAACACCAGUGGCGAAGGCGGCCUGCUGGGCUUUUACUGACGCUGAGGCUCGAAAGCGUGGGUAGCAAAC